GGAAGAAAGGUUUUGGGACCAUUCAAGCCCUCCAGUGCUCACUCACUUUGGCCCUACUCUCUGCCCCACAGAGAAGGACCCCAAGCUAGAGAUUCGCUAUCGGCACAAGAAGUCACGGGAGCGGGAUGGCAAUGAGCGGGACAGCAGUGAGCCCCGGGAUGAGGGUGGAGGGCGCAAGAGGCCUGUCCCCGAUCCAGACCUGCAGCGCCGGGCAGGGUCAGGGACAGGGGUUGGGGCCAUGCUUGCUCGGGGCUCUGCUUCGCCCCACAAAUCCUCUCCGCAGCCCUUGGUGGCCACACCCAGCCAGCAUCACCAGCAGCAGCAGCAGAUCAAACGGUCAGCCCGCAUGUGUGGUGAGUGUGAGGCAUGUCGGCGCACUGAGGACUGUGGUCACUGUGACUUCUGUCGGGACAUGAAGAAGUUUGGGGGCCCCAACAAGAUCCGGCAGAAGUGCCGGCUGCGCCAGUGCCAGCUGCGGGCCCGGCUCUCGCCAGUGACGCCCUCAGAGUCCCUGCCAAGGCCCCGCCGGCCACUGCCCACCCAACAGCAGCCACAGCCAUCACAGAAGUUAGGGCGCAUCCGUGAAGAUGAGGGGGCAGUGGCGUCAUCAGCAGUCAAGGAGCCUCCUGAGGCUACAGCCACACCUGAGCCACUCUCAGAUGAGGACCUACCUCUGGAUCCUGACCUGUAUCAGGACUUCUGUGCAGGGGCCUUUGAUGACCACGGCCUGCCCUGGAUGAGCGACACAGAAGAGUCCCCAUUCCUGGACCCCGCGCUGCGGAAGAGGGCAGUGAAAGUGAAGCAUGUGAAGCGUCGGGAGAAGAAGUCUGAGAAGAAGAAGGAGGAGCGAUACAAGCGGCAUCGGCAGAAGCAGAAGCACAAGGAUAAAUGGAAACACCCAGAGAGGGCUGAUGCCAAGGACCCUGCGUCGCUGCCCCAGUGCCUGGGGCCCGGCUGUGUGCGCCCCGCCCAGCCCAGCUCCAAGUAUUGCUCAGAUGAUUGUGGCAUGAAGCUGG
rnacentral:sRNA from 1 species